rnacentral:rRNA from 1 species
UACGGAGGGUGCAAGCAUUGAUCGGAAUUACUGGGCGUAAAGGGCGCGUAGGCGGCCAGAAAAGUCAGAUGUGAAAUUCCGGGGCUCAACCCCGGAGCUGCAUUUGAAACUUUCCGGCUAGAGGAUGGUAAGGGAAAACGGAAUUCCACGUGUAGCGGUGAAAUGCGUAGAUAUGUGGAAGAACACCGGUGGUGAAGACGGUUUUCUGUGCCAAACCAGACGCUGAGGCGCGAAAGCUAGGGGAGCAAACAGG